AUGCUGCCGAAUCCUCCUGCUUUUAGUACCACCACCGCCCCGGCCCUCCGCCUCUGCCUCCCUAUCUCGCCCCCGGCCGCAGCAGCCUCGUCGUCGCCCCCCUCCUUCGCCGUCGGACGAGUUUCCCUCCGCCGUCGCCGUCGCCGUCGCCGCCGCGCUUCCUUCAGCGGCUGCCGCUGCUCCUCGUCCUCCCACUCAGAAAUGGAGGCCGGCGCUGGGACAGCUCUGUACCCCGCGCACCGAUGCAAAACCAUAUACCUGGUGAGGCAUGCCCAGGGUAUUCACAACGUGGAGGGCGAGAAGGAUUUUGCAGCAUACAAGUCACAUGCGCUGCUUGAUGCUCAACUUACCCCUUUGGGCUGGAGCCAAGUUGAUACCCUGCGAGAGCAUGUGACAAAAUCUGGACUGGCAAAAAAGAUUGAGUUGGUUAUUGUUUCCCCUCUACUGAGGACUAUGCAAACUGCAGUAGGGGUCUUUGGUGGUGGGAACUAUACUGAUGGAGCAAGUGCAUCACCAUUAAUGGUAGAAGGUGCUGGAAACAGUGGACGUCAGCCAAUUUCAAGUUUGAACUGCCCACCGUUUCUUGCAGUUGAGGCCUGCAGGGAGCACUUGGGUGUUCAUCCCUGUGACAAGAGGAGCAGCAUAACAAAAUACCGUACACUCUUUCCUGCCAUUGAUUUUUCCUUGAUAGAGAAUGAUGAAGAUGUUCUCUGGGAACCCGAUGUCAGAGAAACAAAUGAGUCUGUUGCUCUCAGGGGCAUGAAGUUCUUUGACUGGUUAUGGACAAGAGAAGAGAAAGAGAUUGCUAUUGUCAGCCAUAGCGGUUUCUUGUAUCACACCCUAAACAUGUACGGUAAAGAGUGUCAUCCAACCAUAGCAGAGGAGCUGGGCAAGCACUUCGCCAACUGUGAGCUCCGGUCAAUGGUCUUGGUCGACAGAAGUAACCUUGGAUCGGAUGCCUCUAAAUACAACUUCGCUGGGAAGAUACCGACCGGGCUUGAUAUGCCCAGCGAUGUCGCAGACGAGAAGGAGGCUGAAGAAGCUAGCAAGAACUGA
rnacentral:rRNA from 1 species